rnacentral:misc_RNA from 1 species
GGAAGUAAAAGUCGUAUCAAGGUCUCCGUUGGUGAACCAGCGGAGGGAUCAUUACCAAGUUUACAACUCCCAAACCCCUAUGUGAACGUUACCAAACUGUUGCCUCGGCGGGAAAUUCAUGCCCCGGGCGCGUCGCAGCCCCGGACCAAGGCGCCCGCCGGAGGACCAACCAAAACUCUUUUGUAUGUCCCUCGCGGACUUUUAUAAUUCUGAACCAUCUCGGCGCCCCUAGCGGGCGUUUCGAAAAUGAAUCAAAACUUUCAACAACGGAUCUCUUGGUUCUG